ensembl:lincRNA
GUGGCUCCUGCAGUGACUGACUCUAAGGAAGCAGCAACAGCACCUUUGUCUCCACUUAGGUGAAAGGACUGCGCUAGCCAUGAAUAGCCGGCACAAGUCCCUGACUUGUUCAGUGUAGGAAGAGAAACCCUCAAGGAACAGGAGCUGGCUGCUUUGCAGGUUCUAUAAAUCCUCAGGCACUGUUGGAGUCUUUCUGAAGGACAUAAUAGUCCCACCAUGAAUGCUAAGAUCUCAAUUCACCCUUUUCUUGGAAAGCCUGAUGCAGCCUUCUUGUCCAAAGGAUGAAUUAUGCCCCAUGAGACUCAUUAGUGGGCCUGCCUUGCACUGUCUGUUUCUGAGGGGGAACCCCAGCUGGAGACCCAGAAGAACCAAUGGUGUAAGUUCCAGUCCAAAUCUGAAGGUCUGAGAACCAGGAGAACCCAUGGUGUAAGUCUGAGACUGAAAGCAGGAAAAGGCCAUUGUUUCAGCUAAAGCAGUCAGGCAGAAGUUUCAUCUUACUCAGCCCUUUUGUUUUAUUCAGGUCUUUAGUUGAUUAGAUGAGCCCCUCCCCCAUACUAACGAGGACAAUCUGCUUUACUCUUGUUACCAAUUCAAAUGUUAAUCUCAUCCAGAAACAGCCUCAUAAGCAUACUCCAAAUAAUGUUUCACCAAAUAUUUGGGCAUCUGGUGGCCCAGAUAAGCUGACAUGUAAAAACUUAAACAUCACAUAGGGUAAGAAUUAAUUAGUUAUUUGGCAUAUACUCAUACAUCUAGUAAGUGGUGGAGCAAGAAUAAAAUCUCAAAACCCAGCAUUCCAAAGCUUCCCUGUGAAAUGUGUACAUUCCUUGCCUGGUACUUGGUAAUGACUUAGGCCACUUUAAAGUCAAUAAGCAAUUUGCAAAUGUCAUUCUCUGGUCUUCUUUUCUACCUUAUGUCUCCAAAUUAGAGAGACUGACACUGAUCUACAUGUGGCUGGGAAAAUCUUCUGUUGUGAUAAUCACCCAGGCAGGCAACCUACCCCAGUUAAUGCAUUUUAGCUAACCCUGAGCCCUUUCAUUUCAUUCCUUUUUGAUCCAUAACAGGCCACCAGGACAAAUUCUGCUUACAGACAUAUAAUGUAGAGUCUUCAAGGCUUGGCUGUGACACCAGGUCAGAUGAUUUCAGCUGAACUGCAGCCCAUGUGGGAAUAGAAAAGUGAGACUUUGCUGUGUUUUGUAGCAGAUAAUUUCAAUAAGAAGUCCCUUUCAGAAGAGGAGAAGGGAAGAGGAGAUAGAAAAGUAUAGCAGCCACCUUUUCAAUUCUUUUCAAAGUGAAUGAGAUUGCCACUCCCAUGACAACCAUUUAAAUUAUGUGGCUGAAAUGUUUUUCUUGAAAAGCAUAAGCUUUAAGUUCAGUUUAUAGGACUGGUGGUAGGACAUCCCUCCACCUCCACCCCUAUACCCAACACAAACAUCUGUUCAAAGCCCAGAGGACUGAUGAGCUGAUGCACCAAUAAUGUGGGCUUUUAGUGAAACUGGGGGAAGGUGUAGCACACAGUUUUUGAAUUUAAUUUUCGAAGACAGAAGAUAAGGAAACAAGGCAGAGUGUACACAAUGAAGUGGGAAAACCUACUUCUGCAAGCUGGUUUCAAAUAGGGUUGGAAAGGUUGACUUAUUUGAGGGGCCAAUUUCUUCUUCUCUUUUCCCAUCAUCUAGGGCUUUAUCCAAACUUGCCCUUUCAGAUGCAAAGAAAGAAUUAACCUUUUCUUCCACAUCAAAUAGUCAAUCACUUGAAUCCCUUUCCCCAUAGUGACAGAGAUUUUCAAAAAUCACACUCAAUGUUGGCAUUAUUGCUGCCACUAUUGCUGCCAGCCCCUAAUCCUUCACGCAUAAAGAAGUUUCUUUGCUUGCCUUUAUGCUGCUGGCCUCCUGGUUCCUACUCUGGAAAGGAAAGGAAUUUGUAUCCUCCUGAUCUGGAGGCUCUGGAAAAUUAAAUAGGGGAAAAUAAAACAUCAGGAAUUAGAGAGGAAUCCUGUUAUGGCACUACUCACCUGGUAUGCAUUUGAAUGUGCCGCAGGCUAAUUCACUUUCUGGAACCACAAGUAGAGACAAAGAUGGUCUGGCACAAUCCUUUACCCUGCACUAAAAUUAUAAAGGGAACCCUUUGAUUGAUUUAGUUUUAAAAAUUAUUUAAAACCAUGAUUAGUGAAGAAAAAGUAGAAUAUUCAAAUAAGCAGGAAAGAACAUAAAAAUAACAUACACCUCUCACACAGAAGUAAUCUUUGUACAUAUUUUGGAGUAUAGAUUUGAAGACUUUUUCCUUUUUAUAAAUAUACAUAUUCACACACUAAUACAUGUCAUAAAAAUUUAAUCAUUGUAUGCAUACU